rnacentral:rRNA from 1 species
CCUACGGGAGGCAGCAGUGGGGAAUUUUGGACAAUGGGCGAAAGCCUGAUCCAGCAAUGCCGCGUGAGUGAAGAAGGCCUUCGGGUUGUAAAGCUCUUUUGUCAGGGAAGAAACGGUGAGAGCUAAUAUCUCUUGCUAAUGACGGUACCUGAAGAAUAAGCACCGGCUAACUACGUGCCAGCAGCCGCGGUAAUACGUAGGGUGCAAGCGUUAAUCGGAAUUACUGGGCGUAAAGCGUGCGCAGGCGGUUUUGUAAGUCUGAUGUGAAAUCCCCGGGCUCAACCUGGGAAUUGCAUUGGAGACUGCAAGGCUAGAAUCUGGCAGAGGGGGGUAGAAUUCCACGUGUAGCAGUGAAAUGCGUAGAUAUGUGGAGGAACACCGAUGGCGAAGGCAGCCCCCUGGGUCAAGAUUGACGCUCAUGCACGAAAGCGUGGGGAGCAAACAGGAUUAGAUACCCUGGUAGUCCACGCCCUAAACGAUGUCUACUAGUUGUCGGGUCUUAAUUGACUUGGUAACGCAGCUAACGCGUGAAGUAGACCGCCUGGGGAGUACGGUCGCAAGNUUAAAACUCAAAUGAAUUGACCGGNNGAGAGNGCGAGGACGACGACGAGGGAGAGG